ensembl:lncRNA
GGGGCGUCCGUCUGUCCGUCCGUCAGUCCGUCAGUCCGGCCGCCCGGCCGCCCAGCUGUCUGUCUGUCCGUCCGUUCGUCUGCCCUUCCGUCCGCCCAGCCACCCACGUGUCUGUCUGUCUGUCCGUCCGUUCGUCUGCCCGUUCAUCCGUCCGUCCUUCCACCCGGGUGCCCACCCGUGUGUCCGUCCAUCUGUCUGUCCGUCAGUCCGUCCACCCGGCUGCCCAGCUGUCUGUCUGUCCGUCCAUCCUUCCACCCGGGUGCCCACCCAUGCGUCCGUCCGUCUGUCCGUCAGUCCGUCCACCCGGCUGCCCAGCUGUCUGUCUGUCCGUCCGUCCUUCCACCCGGGUGCCCACCCAUGUGUCCGUCCGUUCGUCUGUCUGUCUCUCCAUCCAUCCAGCUGUCUGUCUGUCCGUCCGGUCGUCUGCCCGUCCAUCCGUCCGUCCUUCCACCCGGGUGCCCACCCGUGUGUCCGUCCGUCCGUACAUCUGUCCGUCAGUCCGUCCGCCCAGCCACCCAGCUGUCUGUCUGUCCGUCCGUUCGUCUGCCCAUCCGUCCUUCCACCCGGGUGCCCACCCAUGUGUCCGUUCGUCUGUCCAUCUGUCCAGCUGUCUGUCUGUCCCUUCGUCUGUCCGUCCAUCCAGGUGCCCAUCCAUGUGUCUGUCCAUCUGUCCGUCUAUUCGUCCAUCUGUCCAUCCAUCUGUCUGUCCAUCCAGGUGCCCAUCUAUGUGUGUCUGUCCGUCCGUCCAUCUGUCCGUCCAUCCAGGUGCCCAUCCAUGUGUCUGUCCAUCUG